rnacentral:rRNA from 1 species
CUACGGGAGGCAGCAGUGGGGAAUUUUGGACAAUGGGCGAAAGCCUGAUCCAGCAAUGCCGCGUGAGUGAAGAAGGCCUUCGGGUUGUAAAGCUCUUUUGUCAGGGAAGAAACGGUGAGAGCUAAUAUCUCUUGCUAAUGACGGUACCUGAAGAAUAAGCACCGGCUAACUACGUGCCAGCAGCCGCGGUAAUACGUAGGGUGCAAGCGUUAAUCGGAAUUACUGGGCGUAAAGCGUGCGCAGGCGGUUUUGUAAGUCUGAUGUGAAAUCCCCGGGCUCAACCUGGGAAUUGCAUUGGAGACUGCAAGGCUAGAAUCUGGCAGAGGGGGGUAGAAUUCCACGUGUAGCAGUGAAAUGCGUAGAUAUGUGGAGGAACACCGAUGGCGAAGGCAGCCCCCUGGGUCAAGAUUGACGCUCAUGCACGAAGACGUGGGAGGACGAACGAGGAGUAGUAUACCGUACGGUACGUACCGACCGACCCGUAACCGUACUGUCUACUAGUUAGUUCGGUCGUUA